GCAGAAUUGCAUCUGCACACAUCAACUGGAGCAAGUGCUGCCAAUAAUACCAGAAACUAUGGGAUGUGGGAUGCAUUAGGCAUCAGAUUCCUUCAUCUGGGCACUCAGGGAACCAACAGGAGGGUGCACUAUCAGCUGGUCAAAGAGAAUAACCUCGGAAUAAAUAACCACAAAUUGAUGCAUUUUCAGUUAAAUAGAAGGAUAAACAAAAACAGGUUGGUGACUGAGGUUUCUAAUUCCAAAAGAGCAGAUUGAGAAACUAAUUAGUGAAGUCAACAGGAUUGAAGUGCCAAGGGACUUAAUGUGAAGGAGCUUUGGAGUCUGAAGUCAGGGCUUCAAAAUCUGUCUGAACUGCAGCACAAAAAAGGAAGCAGCAAUUUACACAAAAUGGAAACGUGUCUUCAACAUUUGUUUAAAACCCAAAGGAUCUGGAAGAUGGCAGCCAUCAAAAAGAUUUACAGUCAAUUCAGUGAAGUUAUCAGGAUCAGCAAUUCCAAGCAUCUAUUUCAGAUAUAAUGGAAGCUGCUGAAACAUCCUCGUAUAUCAGUGCCAGCCCUGACCUUUUCUCCCCGAGAUUGUAACACAUCAUCAUAAAAUAACGUCGGCGUGAUGGAGAAUCAUCUGCCCCGUGAAGAGGGAUUCUGGAUCCUUAAAGAGGGAGCUCAGAUCAGGAUGACUCUUCAGUUACGAAUGGGUGACACUAACCUGACAAAGUACCUGGAAAAAACAGCAACA